rnacentral:rRNA from 1 species
AAGGCCCUACGGGGCGCAGCAGUGGGGAAUAUUGCACAAUGGGGGAAACCCUGAUGCAGCGACGCCGCGUGAGCGAUGAAGUAUUUCGGUAUGUAAAGCUCUAUCAGCAGGGAAGAGAAUGACGGUACCUGACUAAGAAGCCCCGGCUAACUACGUGCCAGCAGCCGCGGCAAUACGUAGGGGGCAAGCGUUAUCCGGAUUUACUGGGUGUAAAGGGAGCGUAGACGGUCCUGCAGGCCAGAUGUGAAAGCCCGG